rnacentral:lncRNA from 1 species
GCUCUGAUAAAGUGCAUUUAAACUUUACCUCUUUUUAGCUUUGAUAGGACAAUGGCUUUGAAAUUUCUACAAAUUAGAGCUAAUACUUAUGCUACAAAUUGUAAUUAUAGCUUUGAGUCUAUUAGCUUUGCUACAAUCCUAAAAUUUUCUUCUCUUAUACUCUAUUAAAUUCACCUGAUUAUCAAAUACUUUUAUUUAGUUGAUGAUGACAAAAAGGGGGAAA